GAUCCUGGCUCAGGAUGAACGCUAGCGACAGGCCUAACACAUGCAAGUCGAGGGGCAGCGAAGAGGUUAGCAAUACCUUUGUCGGCGACCGGCGCACGGGUGAGUAACACGUAUGCAAUCCACCUGUAACAGGGGGAUAACCCGGAGAAAUCCGGACUAAUACCCCAUAAUAUGGGCGCUCCGCAUGGAGAGCCCAUUAAAGAGAGUCAAUUUUGGUUACAGACGAGCAUGCGCUCCAUUAG
rnacentral:rRNA from 1 species